GCAUUCUUUUGGAGGUAGUUCUUGACGCUGGAGACAUGGCAUAUUUGACGCUUUCUCUGGUUUGUUGGAAAGUAAGAAAUACCGUCAGCCAGGACGCUUUCCGGAAAAAGGCACACUUUUUGUGGAUAUUGAGUGUGGACACAAAUUGGUUUCACCAUUCCGAGUCCUAUCGCGAGGAAAUGUCCACCAUGUUUUGCAUUUCGUCUUGUCAGUUUUGCAGAACGCAAUUCAAAGAUUGUUCAGGAUACGUAGGACAUGGGAAAAGAGGUGUCAUUCGGGCUAUGUACUCUGAGCAUCCUCACCCUGGGUUCUGCAGCCAUUUUUGCUCAACGGAUGCUGGGAAUUUUGAGUAGGAGUCCUGACCCCAGAAGACGCCAUAAGCCGCUACAAGCGUGUUCUUGAGGCGGUAAACAAGGGGAAUAAUAAAACGGCGGCUUACAGAGCGGUAGGAGUGGACUGCAAAACCAUUGCCGACACUGCAGGAAUUGCAGAACUGCAUGCCGUGAACCCGGGCAUCUACCAAGAUAUCCGGGGAACACUGAAGAAGGGGGAAACCCUUCUCCGUUUCACUGAGAUGUGUAAAGCUGCCAUAAAGGACCAAAAUUUAGAGGGGAAGGUCCAGGACUUGAAGACCAAUGGAGGACUAUUAUCCAUUAAUCCAAAGGGGAAGUGAGGAAGGAAUGGAUGUUUUUUUGG